rnacentral:rRNA from 1 species
UUGAAGAGUUUGAUCAUGGCUCAGAUUGAACGCUGGCGGCAGGCCUAACACAUGCAAGUCGAACGGUAACAGGAAACAGCUUGCUGUUUCGCUGACGAGUGGCGGACGGGUGAGUAAUGUCUGGGAAACUGCCCGAUGGAGGGGGAUAACUACUGGAAACGGUAGCUAAUACCGCAUAACGUCGCAAGACCAAAGAGGGGGACCUUCGGGCCUCUUGCCAUCGGAUGUGCCCAGAUGGGAUUAGCUAGUAGGUGGGGUAACGGCUCACCUAGGCGACGAUCCCUAGCUGGUCUGAGAGGAUGACCAGCCACACUGGAACUGAGACACGGUCCAGACUCCUACGGGAGGCAGCAGUGGGGAAUAUUGCACAAUGGGCGCAAGCCUGAUGCAGCCAUGCCGCGUGUAUGAAGAAGGCCUUCGGGUUGUAAAGUACUUUCAGCGGGGAGGAAGGGAGUAAAGUUAAUACCUUUGCUCAUUGACGUUACCCGCAGAAGAAGCACCGGCUAACUCCGUGCCAGCAGCCGCGGUAAUACGGAGGGUGCAAGCGUUAAUCGGAAUUACUGGGCGUAAAGCGCACGCAGGCGGUUUGUUAAGUCAGAUGUGAAAUCCCCGGGCUCAACCUGGGAACUGCAUCUGAUACUGGCAAGCUUGAGUCUCGUAGAGGGGGGUAGAAUUCCAGGUGUAGCGGUGAAAUGCGUAGAGAUCUGGAGGAAUACCGGUGGCGAAGGCGGCCCCCUGGACGAAGACUGACGCUCAGGUGCGAAAGCGUGGGGAGCAAACAGGAUUAGAUACCCUGGUAGUCCACGCCGUAAACGAUGUCGACUUGGAGGUUGUGCCCUUGAGGCGUGGCUUCCGGAGCUAACGCGUUAAGUCGACCGCCUGGGGAGUACGGCCGCAAGGUUAAAACUCAAAUGAAUUGACGGGGCCCGCACAAGCGGUGGAGCAUGUGGUUUAAUUCGAUGCAACGCGAAGAACCUUACCUGGUCUUGACAUCCACGGAAGUUUUCAGAGAUGAGAAUGUGCCUUCGGGAACCGUGAGACAGGUGCUGCAUGGCUGUCGUCAGCUCGUGUUGUGAAAUGUUGGGUUAAGUCCCGCAACGAGCGCAACCCUUAUCCUUUGUUGCCAGCGGUCCGGCCGGGAACUCAAAGGAGACUGCCAGUGAUAAACUGGAGGAAGGUGGGGAUGACGUCAAGUCAUCAUGGCCCUUACGACCAGGGCUACACACGUGCUACAAUGGCGCAUACAAAGAGAAGCGACCUCGCGAGAGCAAGCGGACCUCAUAAAGUGCGUCGUAGUCCGGAUUGGAGUCUGCAACUCGACUCCAUGAAGUCGGAAUCGCUAGUAAUCGUGGAUCAGAAUGCCACGGUGAAUACGUUCCCGGGCCUUGUACACACCGCCCGUCACACCAUGGGAGUGGGUUGCAAAAGAAGUAGGUAGCUUAACCUUCGGGAGGGCGCUUACCACUUUGUGAUUCAUGACUGGGGUGAAGUCGUAACAAGGUAACCGUAGGGGAACCUGCGGUUGGAUCACCUCCUU